rnacentral:rRNA from 1 species
GACGAACGCUGGCGGCGUGCCUAAUACAUGCAAGUAGAACGCUGAAGAGAGGAGCUUGCUCUUCUUGGAUGAGUUGCGAACGGGUGAGUAACGCGUAGGUAACCUGCCUUGUAGCGGGGGAUAACUAUUGGAAACGAUAGCUAAUACCGCAUAACAAUGGAUGACACAUGUCAUUUAUUUGAAAGGGGCAAUUGCUCCACUACAAGAUGGACCUGCGUUGUAUUAGCUAGUAGGUGAGGUAACGGCUCACCUAGGCGACGAUACAUAGCCGACCUGAGAGGGUGAUCGGCCACCCUGGGACUGAGACACGGCCCAGACUCCUACGGGAGGCAGCAGUAGGGAAUCUUCGGCAAUGGGGGCAACCCUGACCGAGCAACGCCGCGUGAGUGAAGAAGGUUUUCGGAUCGUAAAGCUCUGUUGUAAGUCAAGAACGAGUGUGAGAGUGGAAAGUUCACACUGUGACGGUAGCUUACCAGAAAGGGACGGCUAACUACGUG